GAUCUUGCACUGUCACUUGAUUUUGCACUACUUCAAUUUCACUGACAAGAAUCAAUCUGUCAAACGAAAAGCACUCACAUUUAAAUAUGAAAUGUUCGAUAUCACCAACAGAAUUAAUGCAGAAGGUGCAGUAGCUACUCUCCACUAUGCCCAACCGAGCCAGAUGAGCUGGGACGGUGGAGUGACCAAAACGCAGUCUGCUUAUAGUCGUAAUAAAGUCCCGACUGGCCGUUUUCAGUUUGUUAUACCAUGGUGCUACAGGCGGCCCAUAACGACUUCCAGUACAUGUAUUGCAGCAAUUUGGUAGAAGCAAAUUGACACCAAAUAAGAAGUGAAGGUCGACAAAACGAGGAACAAGCUAAUUAGUAGCCAAUGAACAAGCCGAUGAACAAGCAAUUGCCAGACAGUCAAUUACAGUCCCGAUGUACGAAAGAAAAUAACUGACAGCCUGGACAAGUUCAUGCUACCUCACAUGCCAUGUACGUGCCAGAGACGAAACUCACCUCAUAAAUGAACAAGCGAAUAAAUUGCGUGUAGUAUUUAUUGUCCGCUGGAUCAUUGAGGCGAUAAAUGGGAGAUUCAAACGCGACUUUAAAACAUUCAGUAAUGUGGUAUCCAAUAAAUCACUUUCUCGCCUCUUCAUUGACUUUGGAAUUGCUGGAGCGCUGCUCAACACCUUCAGAGAAUCUUAUGAUAUGAUAAUAUGAUAGUGUCAACGCGACAGACUUUCGGAGAAUUCCUACCAAUAAUGACUUGAACAACUACGAGUACGUUGUCUACUCACGGAACCACCAUAAACACGAGGAUUUCUUUGGCAGUUUAAACGUCAUCACCAUGAAAAUUAAUAUACCUAUGUAUUAACAUGGCCCUAAUGUUUGUUCAGUACUAAUUGUUGCUCUUCUCUAGUUUUUUUUUUCUAUCCUGAGAGAGUAGUAUAAUCUUUGACCCAAAUGCAGAAGGCAUAAAAAGGCAUAAAAGGCAUUUAUUUUCUCAAAAUUAAUUCCUUUAGAAUUCUUUUUGAUCUCAUUUCUAAUUACUACUAGAUAAUACUACCGCUUCGGAAACAAAUGACGCUCUGAGAGAGAAGAAGCGGCGCAAGA